AUGGACUCCACGACUCGUGAUAGAGACAGGAUCGACGUGCUAAUUAUUAUGAUUUCAUUAUCCGAUUCAAGAAAUGCACCCAUAUCCCUAAACGGCCAAAGCUAGCAGUCAAUAACUGGUAAGAUUUAUUCAUUCUUUUGUACUAUCAGCAAAGUUGAUCGUCUGCAUAUAUAUACCUGAAAAAUAGGAUGCCCAAAUUUGAGCAAAGCUCUGAAUAAUCUGAUCUUGAAGUUGCCCUGAUAAAAUGGCCUUGUUUAAUCAGGUUUUUGGCCAAAAACUGCGCGAAAGGACCAAAUCCAAUUAUGCCGAUUCGUAAAGUUUUUGCUUGGGAACAAGAAGACGACGAAGGAGACAUGGGUGCGACAGAAAAAGAUAAGACGGCGGCGAACGUGAGGGAGAAGAUGUAGCUGAUGUGGGUAAUUGUCCUGAGUAAAUUUGUGACGUCCCUUCCCCCUCCCCCCCUGCGCCCCCUCCCAAAAAAAGAAAUUGAUGAAAUGGUCUCCAGGCGGACGAGUAAACGCGGGAACGCUAUUAAGUAGUGUUUGCUCAUGAAAAUUAAAAAUUUUUACGGUUUAAAUUAAAAUUGGAGUUUUGAGUUACAUUUGAUCAUAUAUAUAUAAAUUAAUGUUGUUUUGAUUUUUUGUGAUAGAAAUGAAAGUGAAAAAAGUUACCUGUUUGCACUUUUUUAAAUAUAAUAUCAAAAUUAUAUGGCGUUUGCCAUGAAAACUAAAUUUGUAAAGUUAAAGAGUUGAAAUUUGAGCUGAAGUUGAAGUUGUGUUUGUUCAUAAAUAUAAUUAGAAUUGUUUUUGAAUUUUGUGAGAGAAGAAAGGUAAAAAAAGUGAAAACAACGUUUUCUUGUUUUUUACAUUUCCAAAUUUAACUUCAAGUUGUAUUUAAAAAUUUCAUGGUCAAACAUUAUUUGGAGUUGUAUUUCGUAUAAAAUGAAAAUUACAUUUGAAAAUCUUAUGGUCAAAUAUUACAAUUUUUACUAAAAUGAAAUAAUUUUUCAAAAAAAAAAAAAAAUUCUCAUCAAACACUGAGUCAAAAAUGAAAAGAUACUCAAGUUUGUUUUUAUCUUUUGUUGGCUAACCAAACUGUUCUUCUUAUAUUAGACAUAGUAGUAUGUGUCAGCACAAACUCAAUAUAUUCACUCUCUCUGUUUCAAGUUAUAUGACACACAUAAAAUUUUAAAAGUCAAUUAAAUUUUUCUGACUAUAAUUUAAUUCUUUUAAAAGUAUUUAAAGUAGUUUAUUAUUGUCACUUAUAAUACUUUUUACAUAAUUUUUAAAUGUACAGAUUAUUGAAAAUGCAUUUAUUUUCUUUAUUCAAAUUUAUGUAACACAAAUAAAAUUUGAAGAAUUAUCCAAUUUUUUCUUUAAUAGUAAUUUUUUCUAAAAAUGUAUGUUUUAACUUAUUAAUUGUUGCAUGCUUAUAAGUAAUUUCUAAAUAUAUAACUCAUUGAAAUUUCUUUUAACAAUUGAUACUUAUCUGAAUUUCUUUUUAAAAUAUCAAAGAGUUACAAUAGCAAUUUAUUUCGUCUAUCAAACACAUUUAAUCACAAAAUUAUUUCUAUUGCCACAAUUUAUUGCAUCACCUUUUUAUUUUUGGAGAUUCAAAUUAUGUACUUUUUGUAAUAUACUAAAAUAUAUUCUUUAAAUUAUAUCAUUACGAGAAGAAUUAUAAUUACAGUUUUUUGAAUAUCUAAAUUAUAAUAUUUGAAAUAUUAAAUUUAAUUAAUAAAAAUAGAAAGUAAUUAUUUAAAUUUUUAUUGUAAAACUAUGAUCAAAUAUCAUUCCACCUCCAAACUGAAAAUUUUCAAAUAAAAUAAUUUUAUUUUAUUAAACUGUCUAAGCACUUAUUCAGAUACUCAACUUUAUCUAUAUUAUAGAAAGAGGGUUUCAACAUGGCCUGCUUCUAGCCAUUAUUAACAAAGUUUAAGGGCAAUUUCAUCAUUGAAAAUUAUCAUACAUGGCUUGCAAUCAAUCCUAAGUUCUACGUGUUCGUUUCAUAGUACUCCAUCAUAAGCCGACAUGAGUGCUUAACUAAUUGAGUUCGUUUGACUGCUUCUCCGAGCAAAUUUCUGAUAAUCUUCAGAAGAGAUGCUUUCCUCUUCAAAAGUAAAAAAAGAGGAAAUAUGGAGUGCUACAUUUCCUUUGCUUUGCUAUUGCUUUUCCUCUGUUUGCUUGGCUUCUCUGUUUUUUUAUCGCUUUGAUUAUUCAAAAGUUAGAUUAGAGUAAUCAAGUUAGAUAUUUGGGAGAUUCUUGAGACGUGAAAUUGUAUUUUGACCUUCUAUUUUCAAGUUUGAUUUUUGCUCUAUGCAAGGUAACACCAUAGUUUGAAGUUAGUUUUAUGAUCUGUUUAAUACCGCAUAGCAUGACGAUGCGGUGUUGUUUUUAUUAUUUGAUGAUUUUUCUAUAGCGGUGUACCGUGUACGGGUUGUUAUUUCUCUAUGAUUUGCCAUUCAUGUUUUUACAUUGAUAUGAUUAGGUUUCAUAGAUUUAGGACCCCUUUGCUUAAGUGAAUAAAGUGGAGAAAAGAACAUGAAAAAAAUGUCUUUGCUACUAUUUUGUGGCUGAUAUUGGAUGUCUUCUCAUAUUUUCAGUUGUUUUUUCAUAUUAUUACUGUAGUUUUCAAGUGUUUAUUUUAGGUUUAUUGACCAAAAGAAAACCUAUUUAGAAGUCUAUCGGACAACCUUAGUUGUUUUGGAGCAUUUUCUUGUAUGUUUUACUUCAAGGCUGCAUAAGUUGUAGGAAGACAUAUGUGUCGAUUGUGCAAGAUGUGCAAUAUAUUUUGCUUUCCCCUCAUGAUGUUUCCCUUGGAAACAACUGAUAACUAACUUUAAUAAUUAGUCGGUUCUUGAAUGGUGCUUAACAUAAUUUCAGUGAAAAGGUCUGAAUUCUUUAAACUUCCUUAAUUCAUAGGGUAUUUUAUAAGCUGUUAGAAACUAAAGGAAUGUCUCAAUAUAUAGCAUUUUAGUUCUAUAUGUUGGUAGACAUUUGCACGCCGCACACUUUUUUUUUUGUAAUUCUGGAGAGCUGUUUGAAUGAGAUUUUAUCGGUGAUUGAAGUGACGAGAGUUGUAACAAACUCUUAAAUCUCGAACCCCAAAGGAAAUCCACUCCAUUGUUGGCCUGUGGUUGAGUUGUGGUUAGAUUUCAACGAUGGAGGAGAAGGGGAUGCAAAAUAUCACAAAUAUGUUAUGGAUAGUCAUACAACCCAUUUAAACAAUUUGUUUUAGUACUAAUUAAAUGGGUCAAAAUGGUAACAAGGAUAAACAUGUUUUUGACUUGGAAUUCUAUUUAGGGAUAGUGCCAAAAGUUAAAACUUGGUACUUAAAUCCUUAAAUGUUUAGACACAAAUGGGCUUGAAUUAUAGAUUUUGAACAUGUCUGAUUUAUGCAUUUUCUUAUUUUAGUUCGACUAUACAAGAUAAAAUUUCAGCCCACACAUGAUCAGUUUUUAAAAAAUCUUGCAGGAUAUCCUCAUUCGUGAACAAAAAGGACAAAACGAUCACAUUCAUAAAC
rnacentral:lncRNA from 1 species